CGGUGGCCUAACCCCUCGUGGGAGGGAGCCGUCGAAGGUGGGAUCGGCGAUUGGGACGAAGUCGUAACAAGGUAGCCGUACCGGAAGGUGCGGCUGGAUCACCUCCUUUCUAAGGAGCAA
rnacentral:misc_RNA from 1 species